rnacentral:rRNA from 1 species
GAUGAACGCUGGCGGCGUGCCUAAUACAUGCAAGUCGAGCGAAUGGAUUAAGAGCUUGCUCUUAUGAAGUUAGCGGCGGACGGGUGAGUAACACGUGGGUAACCUGCCCAUAAGACUGGGAUAACUCCGGGAAACCGGGGCUAAUACCGGAUAAUAUUUUGAACUGCAUGGUUCAAAAUUGAAAGGCGGCUUCGGCUGUCACUUAUGGAUAGACCCGCGUCGCAUUAGCUAGUUGGUGAGGUAACGGCUCACCAAGGCAACGAUGCGUAGCCGGCCUGAGAGGGUGAUCGGCCACACUGGGACUGAGACACGGCCCAGACUCCUACGGGAGGCAGCAGUAGGGAAUCUUCCACAAUGGACGAAAGUCUGAUGGAGCAACGCCGCGUGAGUGAUGAAGGUUUUCGGAUCGUAAAACUCUGUUGUAAGGGAAGAACACGUACGAGAGGAAAUGCUCGUACCUUGACGGUACCUUACGAGAAAGCCACGGCUAACUACGUGCCAGCCGCCGCAGUAA